rnacentral:lncRNA from 1 species
AUGUGCACCCGGGGGGGCUGGGGGGGAACGACAGGACCUGACGGUGCGGGGAACGCCUGCGAGCGCAGCCUUUCAUCUGCCGAGCCUCUGCACCGGCCCCGCCGGCCGGAGCGGGGCGGGGGCGGCGGCGCCCCCCACCCGCGCUGCCCGCCGGGCCCUCGGGGUCCCUGCGAGGCCGCGGGGCUCGGCAGCCUCCGAGGCGCGUCCGGGGGUCUGGCGGGGCCCCGCCGCUGCCGGGGAGCGGACAGAGGCCGUGCCCGCACCGGUGGCGCUCCCCGCACAGGCACUCGGCAGGUGCCCCAGAGAGCGGGCGAGGGCCGAGACAACCAGCGAGCCGGUCCGGGCGCUCCUGUCCCGGCGCUAUCCCCGUCGGCGGGACGCGCUCCCGCAGGGACACGCUUGGCAGAGCCGCGUCUCCCGAGCUGGCGUGAGCGGGGCAGUGGGACAGGAAAGGACGAGAACGCCCCAGUCUUCUGCUUUUUCUCCCGAGAGUUGCCAGGCUAACUGCUGAAUGGCUUUGGAAGAGCUUUAACCUGUCCCCAGCAAGGGGACACACGCCAUGUAAAACAAGAUCCGUGGCAAGAUGAGGAUGCUGGGGAAUGCAGAGCCCAGGGGGAAGGUGAGACCAGCAGCAGCUGUGAGGACACAGGGCAGGGGCAGAGGGGAGAUUUGCUCUGCAAACGUGCAGCGCCUUCCACCCUGCCCGGGCCUCAGACCUCGCUGUGCCUCUGACUAAAGGUAACACAAGAAGAGAAUGGCCCCACAUAGAAGCAGCUUUUCAUUCCCCAGUGCCAGGUGCCAACGCCUUUAACCUCAUGUAACUCCUUGGAGAAGUCAACGGAUCCAAACAGGCAACAGCCCGAGGGUGGCCAUGUGCCCACCUGUGCCCACCUGUGCCCACCUGUGCCCAACUGUGCCCACCUGUGCCCACCUGUACCCACCUGUGCCCAUCUGCGCCCACCUGUGCCCACCUGUGCCCACCUGUGCCCACCCGCACCCACCUGCGCCCACCUGUACCCACCCGCGCCCACCUGUGCCCACCUGUGCCCACCUGUUCCCACCCGCGCCCACCUGUACCCACCCGUUCCCACCUGUGCCCACCUGCGCCCACCUGUGCCCACCUGUACCCACCCGCGCCCACCUGUGCCCACCUGUGCCCACCCGUGCCCACCUGCGCUGGUGGGAGCUCGCCCAGCCCAGCACACGCGGUGCCACCAGCCAGCCCCGGUGCUGCCCGGCAGCACAGAGCCCUUGCUGCG